rnacentral:rRNA from 1 species
GAGUUUGAUCAUGGCUCAGAUUGAACGCUGGCGGCAGGCCUAACACAUGCAAGUCGAACGGUAACAGGAAGAAGCUUGCUUCUUUGCUGACGAGUGGCGGACGGGUGAGUAAUGUCUGGGAAACUGCCUGAUGGAGGGGGAUAACUACUGGAAACGGUAGCCAAUACCGCAUAACGUCGCAAGACCAAAGAGGGGGACCUUCGGGCCUCUUGCCAUCGGAUGUGCCCAGAUGGGAUUAGCUAGUAGGUGGGGUAACGGCUCACCUAGGCGACGAUCCCUAGCUGGUCUGAGAGGAUGACCAGCCACACUGGAACUGAGACACGGUCCAGACUCCUACGGGAGGCAGCAGUGGGGAAUAUUGCACAAUGGGCGCAAGCCUGAUGCAGCCAUGCCGCGUGUAUGAAGAAGGCCUUCGGGUUGUAAAGUACUUUCAGCGGGGAGGAAGGGAGUAAAGUUAAUACCUUUGCUCAUUGACGUUACCCGCAGAAGAAGCACCGGCUAACUCCGUGCCAGCAGCCGCGGUAAUACGGAGGGUGCGAGCGUUAAUCGGAAUUACUGGGCGUAAAGCGCACGCAGGCGGUUUGUUAAGUCAGAUGUGAAAUCCCCGGGCUCAACCUGGGAACUGCAUCUGAUACUGGCAAGCUUGAGUCUCGUAGAGGGGGGUAGAAUUCCAGGUGUAGCGGUGAAAUGCGUAGAGAUCUGGAGGAAUACCGGUGGCGAAGGCGGCCCCCUGGACGAAGACUGACGCUCAGGUGCGAAAGCGUGGGGAGCAAACAGGAUUAGAUACCCUGGUAGUCCACGCCGUAAACGAUGUCGACUUGGAGGUUGUGCCCUUGAGGCGUGGCUUCCGGAGCUAACGCGUUAAGUCGACCGCCUGGGGAGUACGGCCGCAAGGUUAAAACUCAAAUGAAUUGGCGGGGGCCCGCACAAGCGGUGGAGCAUGUGGUUUAAUUCGAUGCAACGCGAAGAACCUUACCUGGUCUUGACAUCCACGGAAGUUUUCAGAGAUGAGAAUGUGCCUUCGGGAACCGUGAGACAGGUGCUGCAUGGCUGUCGUCAGCUCGUGUUGUGAAAUGUUGGGUUAAGUCCCGCAACGAGCGCAACCCUUAUCCUUUGUUGCCAGCGGUCCGGCCGGGAACUCAAAGGAGACUGCCAGUGAUAAACUGGAGGAAGGUGGGGAUGACGUCAAGUCAUCAUGGCCCUUACGACCAGGGCUACACACGUGCUACAAUGGCGCAUACAAAGAGAAGCGACCUCGCGAGAGCAAGCGGACCUCAUAAAGUGCGUCGUAGUCCGGAUUGGAGUCUGCAACUCGACUCCAUGAAGUCGGAAUCGCUAGUAAUCGUGGAUCAGAAUGCCACGGUGAAUACGUUCCCGGGCCUUGUACACACCGCCCGUCACACCAUGGGAGUGGGUUGCAAAAGAAGUAGGUAGCUUAACCUUCGGGAGGGCGCUUACCACUUUGUGACUCAUGACUGGGGUGAAGUCGAAACAAGGUA